GGGGGCGGCCCGGCGGGUUCACUUGUGUUCGUGCAUCAGCCCUCCCGUCCCGCAGGGCCGGGGGGCGGCGGUGGCGGUGGGCGCCUCUCCGUGCGAGAGUGGGAUCUGCCUUGUGGGGAAAUAAAAUGCCCAGUAAGGCGUACUGACGGUGUCCACAGGCAAGGGGCCGGCACAGGGCGGGCGUGCCGACAUGGAGGGAGAUGAAGAGGAAGACUACAUGUCUGAUUCGUUUAUUAAACAGGAUGUAAGGCCAGGCUUGCCCAUGGUAAGGCGGGUAAAGGAAGCUAUUCAGAAAGAAGAAAAGCAAAAGGAAGCCAAUGAGAAGAACAGGCAAAAGAGUAUAAAAGAAGAAGAAAAAGAGAGGCGAGACUUGGUGCUGAAAAGCGCGUUGGGCAACGAGAACAAAGGCUUUGCUUUGCUCCAGAAGAUGGGCUACAAGAGCGGCCAAGCCCUUGGCAAAAGCGGAGAAGGCAUUGUUGAACCUAUUCCUCUGAACAUAAAAACAGGCAGAAGUGGUCUUGGUCACGAGGAAUUAAAAAAGCGAAAAGCUGAAGAAAAACUGGAAAACUAUAGACAAAAACUCCAUAUGAAAAAACAAGCAAAUGAACAAGCUGCAGAUCAGUUCAGAAUAAGAUUCAAAAACAAACAAGAAGAACGUAAGAUGGAAGGGGACCUGCGAAAAAGCCAAAGGGCCUGCCAGCAAUUAGAUAUGCAAAAAGACAUUGAAGUUCCCAAAGAGACUUGGUUUUGGAUAGAACCUGAAGAGGAAGACAAAAAGGAUGAGGAAGACAAGGAAGAUGAAUGCACAAGCUCAGACUUAAGUGUAUCAGAAAAGCUACACAUCCUGACAGCCUACUUGAGAAAAGAACACUUUUAUUGCAUUUGGUGUGGAACAACCUAUGAAGACUCUGAAGAUUUAUCUUCAAACUGUCCCGGAGACAGUGCUGCAGAUCAUGACUAAAACCUUUCUAAAGGAAGGAGUCCUAAAUAAAGUUAUAUGUUGGCUCUACAGCACUGAACAGUUUGACAAGAUACAGCUCCAAGGUAAAAAUUGCAAGUGAUUUCUUGCAGAAGUAUCCAGUUCUGGUCUGCAGCCAAUGGACAUGAAUGGUGAUGUGGCCUUCAAGCUGUCAUGUCAUGUCAUGGCUGGGCUUCACGAACGAAGAUUUGGGAAGGGCUCUACCCACGUUUGUUGCAAGCGCGUUGGUGGCUGAAAAGGCCAGUACGAGACAGGCACGUCUGGUUGCACCUUCGAGCUGACAGACUCGACAAUGGCAGGAAGGCAAAGCACCAAGGAGAAGACGUACCCCAAGUCUUGCUGUUGCUUCUUACAUCUAUUGUUAUUUUGUCAGUUUCAAUAAAUCCAUGAAACUCUGGAUUUAAA